rnacentral:rRNA from 1 species
GGGGAAUUGGGGUUUGGUUCCGGACAGGGAGCCUGAGAGAUGGCUACUACGUCCAAGGAUGGCAGCAGGCGCGGAACUUGCCGAAUCCUGAUGGGAGGCAGUUAGCAGAUGUUAUGUGUGUGGUGAAUUGCAACGAGAUUCGCUGUGAUUGGAGGGCAAGUCGGGUGCCAGCAGCCGCGGUAAUACCUGCUCCAAGAGUGUCUAUGGUGGAUGCUGCAGUUAAAAGGUUCGUAGUUGUGUUGAUGGUGUAUGUUUUGUGUGCCUGUGGCUAUAGCGGGCUGUGGAUGUAUGCGGCAACGGGCGCAACGGACGGGGGGCACUGGAUAGUUGGGCGAGAGGUGAAAUGUGACGACCCUGACUGGACAGACGGAGGCGAAGGCUGUGCUCUUGGACGGAUGUGUGGAUCAAGAACGAAGGCUGGAGGAUCGAAAUCGAUUAGAUACCGUUUUAGUUCCAGCAGUAAACGAUGCCGACUGGAUGGUGCUGUUGCACUGUCCGCGAGAAAUCUGUGAGUGUGUGGGCUCUGGGGAUAGUAUGUUCGCAAGAGGGAAACUUAAAGAGA